AGAGUUUGAUCAUGGCUCAGGAUGAACGCUAGCGAUAGGCCUAACACAUGCAAGUCGAGGGGCAGCACAUGAAGUAGCAAUACGGAUGGUGGCGACCGGCGCACGGGUGAGUAACGCGUAUGCAACCUGCCUACAACAGGGGAAUAACCCGUUGAAAGACGGACUAAUACCCCAUAACACAGGGAUCCCGCAUGGGAAUAUUUGUUAAAGAUUUAUCGGUUGUAGAUGGGCAUGCGUUCCAUUAGCUUGUUGGUGAGGUAACGGCUCACCAAGGCAACGAUGGAUAGGGGAACUGAGAGGUUUAUCCCCCACACUGGUACUGAGACACGGACCAGACUCCUACGGGAGGCAGCAGUGAGGAAUAUUGGUCAAUGGACGCAAGUCUGAACCAGCCACGUCGCGUGAAGGAAGACGGCCCUACGGGUUGUAAACUUCUUUUGUAAGGGAAUAAAGUGUAGUACGUGUACUAUUUUGCAUGUACCUUACGAAUAAGGAUCGGCUAACUCCGUGCCAGCAGCCGCGGUAAUACGGAGGAUCCGAGCGUUAUCCGGAUUUAUUGGGUUUAAAGGGUGCGCAGGCGGGAGAUUAAGUCGGCGGUGAAAUUUUGCAGCUCAACUGUAAAAGUGCCUUCGAAACUGGUUUCCUUGAGUGUGGAUGAAGUAGGCGGAAUUUGUGGUGUAGCGGUGAAAUGCAUAGAUAUCACGAGGAACUCCGAUUGCGCAGGCAGCUUACUAAACCAUAACUGACGCUCACGCACGAAGGCGUGGGGAUCAAACAGGAUUAGAUACCCUGGUAGUC
rnacentral:rRNA from 1 species